UAGCUCAUAACUGGGUUAGAUUUUAAAAUAUAGGAAAACGCAGGUCUGCAUGAAUUACGUAGUUCAAUGUUUAAAGAGAAGGGGAACAACACAGUAAUCAGUAACUUUUACGUAUCAUUUUAAUGACGCACACCUAGUUAUAAAUUUAGACGCUCUGCGCGUAAUACUUCUUAUCUCCACACUUGAAUUUCUGUGCCAGUUCACAAUCGUUGUGCAUAACCUACUGAUUAGCUGAACAAAUCUAUCAAAUUUGCACGUAAUUCCGCAACUGGUAUAAUAGUAAAAAAAAAUUGUUUUUCGAAAAAAAAGUUUUAUAAAUUAAAAUCCGCACAAAGGAUGAACGAAUACGCCAGCAGGUGUACGUACUUAGAGCAAAUCGAAACUAUGGAAAAUGAAACUCUAAGGUUACUGCGGUUUUACACAUCUUCCACUAUCAGCCUAGUUAUCAUAGGUUUGUACAAAUUUUACAACGCCAAAAAUCCGGUGAGUUGGUUGACAACGAACUUGCUUUUUGGGUGCUUUUUCUUUCUUUCGACGUACAUUUCUGCUCGAAUAUCGCAGGCUGCGAGCGAAAUGAAAUCAGAAGAUUUCCGCGACUGGUACUUCAAGCCCAUUUUUCUAAACUGUAUGAUGACAUUGACGUUCUGCAAGUUCGCUAAUGCUUUGGAAAUAACUUUCCGCGAUCGAAGAGUUUACCGAAACACAAAAUUCAUUACUUAUUGUUUAAUUCCCAGCUAUUCUCUAAUUUCUUACUGGUUCAAGGAUGAAAUAGAGAUCGUCGACUACGUUGAUCCAUUUACAAUGAUGAAAAUCGUUCGAAUCGCUUGUUUACUACUCACGAUCAUCGCGCUAAUAAAAAUUACAACGUACGGUGACUGUGAAGAUGACGAACGAAACGUCGAAAAGUUGACAGUUUAUACAGGCACAACUUUUAUGCUAAACCUGACAGAAGGAUUAUUUUUUUGGUUUCUUUUAAAAAUUACGAGUAGAUAUGCAUGCACAUGCACAUGCGCAGCAACAACACUUUCAUACCAACAGUAAUAUAGUUUUUAUGAAAUCUUCAUGCAUAUAAUUGUAUUUUUUUGUCAACAUUGAACGUGAUUAAAAAGAAAUUUCGUUUUAGUACUAUAAACAAAAUCCAAUUUUUUAAAAAAAUCUUCACGUUAACGUAACAUAUAGAAAAUGGUUUCAAAUAUGUACCUAAUUAAGCUCUCUUCAAUCUGAAAAAAUGCUUUCCUUUGUUUUUUUGUAUGUUCUUUCUUAUUAUAUGUAUGACCAAUAUUCCUGCAUGCAUAGUUCUUGGAUACUCUGUAAGAGUACAUAGAUACCUACAUAUAAUAAUAAGUUCAUAAGUCUGAUUGUUUGCACAUUUAUUUAAAAAAUAAAUUCAACAUGCUUAAUACAUCAA